rnacentral:rRNA from 1 species
UACGGGGGGGGCAAGCGUUGUUCGGAAUUACUGGGCGUAAAGGGCUCGUAGGCGGCCAACUAAGUCAGACGUGAAAUCCCUCGGCUUAACCGGGGAACUGCGUCUGAUACUGGAUGGCUUGAGUUCGGGAGAGGGAUGCGGAAUUCCAGGUGUAGCGGUGAAAUGCGCAGAUAUCGGGAGGAACACCAGUGGCGAAGGCGGCACUCUGGGCCGGAACUGACGCUGAGGAGCGAAAGCGUGGGGAGCGAACAGG